GACGAAGGUGGCAAGCGUUGCUCGGAAUCACUGGGCAUAAAGCGCGCGUAGGUGGCCUGACAAGUCAGUGGUGAAAUCCCAUCGCUCACCGAUGGAACUGCCGCUGAUACUGUCGGGCUUGAGGACGGUAGGGGAGAGUGGAACUCCUGGUGUAGCGGUGAAAUGCGUAGAUAUCAGGAGGAACGCCGGUGGCGAAAGCGACUCUCUGGGCCGUUCCUGACACUGAUGCGCGAAAGCUAGGGGAGCAAACAGG
rnacentral:rRNA from 1 species